rnacentral:rRNA from 1 species
GAUGAACGCUGGCGGCGUGCCUAAUACAUGCAAGUCGAGCGAACAGACGAGGAGCUUGCUCCUCUGACGUUAGCGGCGGACGGGUGAGUAACACGUGGAUAACCUACCUAUAAGACUGGGAUAACUUCGGGAAACCGGAGCUAAUACCGGAUAAUAUAUUGAACCGCAUGGUUCAAUAGUGAAAGACGGUUUUGCUGUCACUUAUAGAUGGAUCCGCGCCGCAUUAGCUAGUUGGUAAGGUAACGGCUUACCAAGGCAACGAUGCGUAGCCGACCUGAGAGGGGGAAGGCCCACUGUGGAACUGAGCCGCGGCCCAGGCUCCUAGGGGAGGCCGAGGUGGGGAAGUUUCCGAAAUGGGCGAAAGCCUGACGGAGGAACGGCGGGUGGGUGAUGAAGGUCUUCGGACCGUAAAACUCUUUUUUUGGGGAAAAACAAAUGUGUAAGGAACUAUGCGCGUUUUGACGGUACCGAAAAAGAAAGCCACGGCUAACUCCGU